rnacentral:lncRNA from 1 species
GUGAGGCUGCAGCUGACUGUGGCGGAGAUUGUCACACAGGGGCUUCCAGGAACAUUCCAGGUGGAGGUCAGAGACCCCGGCCAGCAUGUCCUAACUGCAGGGAGUGGCACCUGUGUUCAGAAGGACUUGGUGACCAGGUAAAGUUCUCAUUCAGCGUGUAGCCCUGGCCUCCUGCAGAUCCUCAGGCAUCUGGCCCCUAAACCAAUAGAAUGGAGGUUUCAGCCAGAACUUGGGACAGAGGAAACUGUCACCCAUAGUCCCCAUUCAUGCAGGGUAAUUAAUCGGCUGGCAGCAGCCGACAGAGACAUUCAAGAGAGUUCCAUAACCUCGAAAGGAGCAUCAGGGUCAGGAAGUCUGGGGAGCAGCAGAGCCUGAGAUAAGGCAGCAUCCUACCUGCAUCUGAAUCCCAGCCCUGUCAAUCACGCCCUGUGUGAACUUGCACAAGCUCCUGAGCUGUGCUGCCUCCCAGUUUUGUCAUCUGUGUGAUGGGGAUACAAUUGUUAGCUCAUUGCAUUGGAGGGGGACCGGAGGACCCAAUGUCUGUCAAGCACUAAAGCACUGCCCAGGGUCCCCCAUGUCAUGGUGGGUGCCACAGCGUCUGUCUCCGGGUAGGGGACUGCCAGAAGCAGGACUGGGGAAUGAUAGCCGGCACAGCCGGCUAUGAGCAGGGACACUGAAGGGCAGAGUCAAGGCUGACUCCACACAUGGGGCUGUGCCCCGUGCGGUUCCUGCCAACACCCACAGAUGAACUGGUGGCAACAAGAGCAAGAGUCGGGGCUCACUGCCAUAGGGAUCAAGAGAUCAGGAGGCUCAAGACCAGAAAGUGUUCUCCAGCGGGAGCUUCCAUCACUCCUGAGAAAAGGACAUGGGCUAAACACAAAUUCCAGGGCAGAGACUGAUCACCCAGCCGCCCUGUGUCUCCUUCAGCACCCGUGAUGAUGCCACACUUCAGAAAGCAAAGGGCCCUCAGCCCCUGGCUCUCCCCAACUGCUCUCACCUCUUCGCCCCCUCCCUGGAAAUGCACCCCGCAACCCAGGGCGGAGGUACAGGCUGAUCAGGGAGGGUCCCUGGAACUGCUGCCAAAAAUACCGUCCUUACCCAUCUAGGAGAACUCCUCCCAGCUUCCCUGUGCUCUCUGCUCUGAGAAAAUAUCGGAGCUGAAGCGGAUGAAGCUGUGGCCGCAGCCAAAACAGUGAUCGUGUCAGAGGCGG